GGUUAAGCGACUAAGCGUACACGGUGGAUGCCCUGGCAGUCAGAGGCGAUGAAGGGCGUGCUAAUCUGCGAUAAGCGCCGGUAAGGUGAUAUGAACCGUUAUAACCGGCGAUACCCGAAUGGGGAAACCCAGUGUGAUUCGUCACACUAUCAUUAACUGAAUCCAUAGGUUAAUGAGGCGAACCGGGGGAACUGAAACAUCUAAGUACCCCGAGGAAAAGAAAUCAACCGAGAUUCCCCCAGUAGCGGCGAGCGAACGGGGAGGAGCCCAGAGCCUGAAUCAGCAUGUGUGUUAGUGGAAGCGUCUGGAAAGGCGCGCGAUACAGGGUGACAGCCCCGUACACAAAAGCGUAUGUGCUGUGAGCUCGAUGAGUAGGGCGGGACACGUGGUAUCCUGUCUGAAUAUGGGGGGACCAUCCUCCAAGGCUAAAUACUCCUGACUGACCGAUAGUGAACCAGUACCGUGAGGGA
rnacentral:rRNA from 1 species